ACAGUCCUUAAUAGUAUUUUCAACUGUUUAGAACUCCCCUCCGGGUUUUCCGAUCACAAGUGUAUGUUCGAGAACACUUGCUCCGUUAGUUCUUCUCCUUGCUUCUUCUAUCUUGGAAUCAAGAUGUAUACACAAAGUAUUGUUUCAAGUAAAAGUUUGGAAUUAUUCAAUAGAAUGAAUAAAGUAGUAAGCCUAGGAUGAUGAUCAUGGCUCAAGAGCUGGCUCUUCAUAAGAACUUGAAGUCCCUAUAUUUAAAAUAGAAAAGUGAUCAUUUACAAGCAUCACGCCAUGCCAUUGAAUGCAUAUAUUAACACAAAAAGGUUGAACAUCAAUGGCUAAUAAACUCUCAGCUACCUUUGUUUACAUUCAAAAUCGGAUAACAAUUGAAUUUAUACGCGAUUUUAAAGAUAGACGAUAUAAUUUGACACAAUUGAGAAAACAAUUUAAUAUUAAACUCAAUGACAGAAAAAUGAAUGCAAACCAUACAAGUUGAACAAUGUUAGUCUUGAAGGUUGGUCACCCUUGAGUCAGAAAGUGCCUCAAUCAAUGUCAGAACAGAAUAACAAGAUAAUGAGAACCAGAAAUAACAGUGUAUUGCCUUUUGAUGCGUGUUACAAUGUGUCUCACAAAUGAUCAGACCCCCUUUUAUAUAGUAGGGGAGUCCUAGUCUAGAUACAAUUCUAUAAAAGGUAGAAAACCUCAUAAUUUGCUAACUAAUAGGCCUCUCCUUGAUACGUGUCGAGAUUUCUGCCGUGAUAUCCGACCGAUUGCGGAUAUUUUAGCCUUCUACUAUUUGGCCCGAUAUCUAUAUUCUCCAAAAUCAAUUCUCUGAUUACUUCUGCAAUCACUUCAUAAGAACUUCUACUCUUUACCUUAUCAAAACACAUCCUUUUAACUUCCUCUUUUCUCUUAGCUUCCCUAAAAAUGGCAAAGACCUCAAAGUCCGUUCCCCAAAAAGAAGUUCCCUCUGCUUCGCGACCGGCUGAAAAGGAAAACGUUCCAUCUGCUGAUAUUGAGGAAAAGAUACCGGAGUCUUCUUUGACUAUGUUCGUUCCUGGGGGGCGCCCAAUUGGUGCCGACUUCAAAGUCGAAAAAACCUCUUCCGUACCAGGUCGGUGCGAGCCGUUCUCAAGAUAUAUGUGCUCGAUCACCGACAACUUCCUCUCCAAGGUCAAGGAAGAAUGCAAUUGGGCCGGUAAGCACGUGGGGGUGCCUAUGCACAAGGAAUCGAUUACUACCCACGUGGAGGAUUUUUUAAGUGUUUACACUUAUCCUUUCACGUUGGGCCCUUUGGACUCGCUCAUCGUCGCCUUCUCUAAGAGGUACGAGGUGACCCUUGGUCAAAUUCACCCCUCAUUCUGGAGGAUAGUAAUUCUCCUCCGCUUCUUUCUAAGUAAAAUCGACAAGUGUCCUUUCACCAUCGACCACCUCAUGCGUCUUUAUAGUCCCCGACUCUAUCGAGGGGGAUUAACAAUGCUUGCGUGUCGAGCCUCUAAGGCCCCUUUCUCGAGUAUAGACGAGGAUCAAGACCGAGGUUGGUUGGGUCGAUUUGUUCGAGUGAAGACCUCAUAUUUAAUCCCCAUUGAGGAUAUGCCAUUUCCCGAGAAAUGAAACAUGAAACGUAAGUAUAACUUUGCCUUUAAAAUUUUGUUUACUGCUUUUCUUUUUUCAUUCUUAUAGAUGUUUCGUGGUGCAACCGUUGAUACCGGAUGCAGUUCCCCGACUCAAGGUGUGGGUCGAGGGCAUUGUAUCACAGAAGCCCUAUUCCGAGCGUGCGUGGCGCGAACUUUCAAAGGGUCGGUGGGAGAGCCGUUCUCACGGUAAGAUUCAUUCCUAGAACAGACAUCACUUGGGUUUCUUUUCAAGCUUACUCAUCUCUUGUCCUUUAUAGGCCUUGGGAAGGAUGUUGGAAUGAGGCCGCUGUCCGGAGAUGAAGACGUCCUCCCCCAAUCACCUGCUCCAAAGUAGACUAGAGAGAAGAAAAGGGGUUCCGAGUUCCCCGAACUCGGAGAAGCAGAAACAUAAAGAGGUAGGUGCAUCGUCGUUCUCCCAUCGAACCUAGUCCACGGGCUGAGGGACGUCCGAAGAAGAAGAAAAUUUUGAGCUGGUGGCUCGGGUGCGAGUCAAUACUGCAUUGCCUCGAUCCAUGAAAGCUGCUAAGGGGGCAGUGAACAGGGUCUCUGAAUCAGAGAGGGGGGACGCCUCUUUGCCCCAAACUAGGGAGGCCGAGAAGGAGACCAUGGCGGCACUAUUAGGGCAAAGGAAAAUGUCCCGAAAGAUGCGCUUGGGGUGUUGUCUUCUAUCUUGGAGUCAAGAUGUUUACACAAAGUAUUGUUUCAAGUAAAAGUUUGUAAUUAUUCAAUAGAAUGAAUAAAGUGGUAAGCCUAGGAUGAUGAUCAUGGCUCAAGAGCUGGCUCUUCAUAAGAACUUGAAGUCCCUAUAUUUAAAAUAGAAAAGUGAUCAUUUACAAGCAUCACGCCAUGCCAUUGAAUGCAUAUAUUAACACAAAAAGGUUGAACAUCAAUGGCUAAUUAACUUUCAGCUACCUUUGUUUACACUCAAAAUCGGAUAACAAUUGAACUUAUACGCGGUUUUAAGGAUAGACAAUAUAAUUUGACACAAUUGAGAAAAUAAUUUAAUAUUAAACUCAAUGACAGAAAAAUGAAUGCAAACCACACAAGUUGAACAGUGUUAGCCUUGAAAGUUGGUCACCCUCGAGUCAGAAAGUGUCUCAAUCAAUGUCAGAACAGAAUAACAAGAUAAUGAGAACUAGAAAUAACAGUGUAUUGCUUUUUGAUGUGUGUUACAAUGUGUCUUACAAAUGAUCAGACCCCCUUUUAUAUAGUAGGGGAGUCCUAGUCUAGAUACAAUUCUAUAAAAGGUAGAAAACCUCAUAAUUUGCUAACUAAUCGGCCUCCCCUUGAUACGUGCCGAGAUUCUGCCGUGAUAUCUGACCGAUUGCAGAUAUUUUGGCCUUCCAUUAUUUGGCCCGAUUUCUAUAUUCUCCAACAUCAAUUCUCUGAUUACUUCUACGAUCACUUCAUAAGAACUUUACUUUUUACCUCAUCAAAACACAUCCUUUUAACUUCUUCUUUUCUCUUAGCUUCCCUAAAAAUGGCAAAGACCUCAAAGUCAAUUCCCCAAAAAGAAGUUCACUCUACUUCGCGACUGGCUGAAAAGGAAAACGUUCCAUCUGCUGCUAUUGAGGAAAAGAUACCAGAGUCUUCUUUGACUAUGUUCGUUCCUGGGGGGAGCCCAACUGGUGCCGACUUCAAAUUCGAAAAAACCUCUUCCGUACCGGGUCGGUGCAAGCCGGUCUCGAGAUAUAUAUGCUCGAUCACUGACAACCUCCUCUCCAAAGUCAAGGAAGAAUGCAAUUGGGCUGGUAAGCAUGUGGUGGUGCCUAUGCACGAGGCGUGGAGUUUUUUUUAAGUGUUUACACUUAUCCCUUCACGUUGGGCCCUUUGGACCCGGUCGUCAUCGCCUUCUGUAAGAGGUACGAUGUGACCUUUGGUCAAAUUCACCCCUCCUUCUGGAGGAUAGUAAUUCUCUUCCGCUUCUUUGUAAGUAAAAUCGACAAGUGUCCUUUCACCAUCGACCACCUCAUGCGUCUUUAUAGUCCCCAACUUUAUCGAAGGGUAAUAACAAAUCUUGCCCGUCGAGCCUCUAAGGCCCCUUUCUCGAUUAUAGACGAGGAUCGAGACCGAGGUUGGUCGGGUCGAUUUGUUAGAGUGAAGACCUCAGAUUUAAUCCUCAUUGAGGAUAUGCCAUUUCCCGAGAAAUGAAACAUGAAAUGUAAGUAUAACUUUGCCUUUAAAAUUUCGUUUACUACUUUUCUUUUUUCCUUCUUAUCGAUGUUUUGUGGUGCAACCGUUGCUCGGAUGCCGGAUGCAGUUCCCCAACUCAAGGUGUGGGUCGAGGGCAUUGUAUCACAGAAACCCUAUUCCGAGCACGCGUGGCGCAAACCUUCAAAGGGUCGGUGGGAGAGCCAUUCUUACGGUAAGAUUCUUUCCUAGAACAGACAUCACCUGGGUUUCUUUUCAAGCUUACUCAUCUCUUUUCCUUUAUAGGCCUUGGAAAGGAUGUUGGAAUGAGGCCGCCGUCCGGAGAUGAAGACGUCCUCCCCCAAUCACCUGCUCCAAAGUAGACUAGAGAGAAGAAAAGAAAAGGGGCUCCGAGUUCCCCGAACUCGGAAAGCAAAAACAUAAAAAGAGGUAGGUGCACAAACCCAAGGAAAGCAUCGUCGCUCUCCCAUCGAACCUAGUCCACGGGCUGAGGGAUAAGUCCGAAGAAGAAGAAAAUUUUGAGCUGGCGGCUCGGGUGUGAGUCAAUACCGCGUUGUCUCGAGCCAUGAAGGCUGCUGAGGGGGCAGUGAACGGGGUCUCUGAAUCGGAGAGGGGGGAGGCCGCCUUGCCCCAAACUAGGGAGGUCGAGAAGGAGACCAUGGCCGGCACUAUUCGGGCAAAGGAAAAUGUCCCGAAAGAUGCGCUUGGGUUGUUGAUAAUUCCGGGUCCUCUUUAUUCUCCGACUCUAUGAUCAAUGAGGCCGACAUGCUAAAAGAGUGUUCACCGAGUUUGAUGACUUACCGGUGCCAAAAAAAGCACCACCUUCAGGUACCAGCGGGUCUUCUUUGAGUCCAAAGUUAGUGGAUCGGUUCCCGGCUCCAAGUGUUGAUCCUGACCGAAAUCAGUCAAUAAUUAUCUCUAUCCCGGAGGACGCUCGGGAUCUCUCCGCCCCCGUGGGGUUGCUAGCUAUCUUUAGUGCUUGGUGACCAAAGAGGACCAGGCCAAGAUGGACGAGGUGGAGGCGCCCUGCCUGUUCAAUGAAGCUCAAUAGGCGUUGAAUCAGGCAUCGGUACUUCACAAUGAAACUUUGCUCCGAUAUUGGGAGGAGUUAACCCAACACGAGGUCGAGAUUCGGGAUCUUACUAAGAAGAGGGAUAUCUAUAAGCUUCUCAGUGAGAAACUCCAGGCCAAGCUAGAAGCGGCUCGGAAGGAACAUGUCAAAUGGGUUGAGCAGGUCCAAAAGAGACUUGAACAGAUCGGGUAGCUCCAUGCGGAGGUGAAUAUAGUAAAAGCUAAGGCCGAAGAACGGAAGAAAAACAUGGACCUCCUAGCUUCGGAAAAAGGAGACUAUCCAGGCACAACUGGCGUCGACUGAGGCCCAGCUCCGACCUAUAGAGAAGAAGGCCUCGACCCAGGCUAAAACAAUCGAGAAGAUCCGGUAUCAGCUGAGCUCGCCGGUCUCUAGCCAAGAAAAUCUGGCCAAGGAACUUGAGGCAGCCAGGUUAGAGAUUGCUGAGGUCAAGGCCGAAGCUGAUGAGAAGGUGGCCCAGCUAAAGCCGAUGCCAAGGCAGCUCAGGAUCAAGUGAAAUAUUUGGUGGAGCACAUGAAGAGGCAAUCUCGAAGGGAGGCCCUUGAAGAAGUUCAAGCUUAUGGCUUUGACCAGCUGGCUGAGAUCGAGAAUGCCAAAAUAUCUGAGGCCAAGGCCAGGAGCUGGCUUAUCCCGAGGAAGAGGAUUUUGAGGGGUAUGAAGACUCGGAUGAGCCCAAAGGUGGUGAAGACCUCGAAGGCGACGCGAUCCCCGAUAAAGAUUAGGCCACUUAGGAUUUUUUAGACAUUUUGUCUUUUAUUUUUUGAGGUGUUUUGGACGUUGUAGAUUUCUGUAUCGGCGCCAUUUGGCCUUUGUAAAAAGAGUUUUGG